rnacentral:tRNA from 1 species
UGGGGUGUAGCUCAGUGGUAGAGUACUUGCCCAGCAUGCAUGAAGUCCUGGGUUUGAUCCCUAGAACCACAA